rnacentral:rRNA from 1 species
AUUGAACGCUGGCGGCAGGCCUAACACAUGCAAGUCGAGCGGAUGAAGGGAGCUUGCUCCUGGAUUCAGCGGCGGACGGGUGAGUAAUGCCUAGGAAUCUGCCUGGUAGUGGGGGAUAACGUCCGGAAACGGGCGCUAAUACCGCAUACGUCCUGAGGGUGAAAGUGGGGGAUCUUCGGACCUCACGCUAGCAGAGGAGCCUAGGUCGGAUUAGCUAGUUGGUGGGGUAAAGGCCUACCAAGGCGACGAUCCGUAACUGGUCUGAGAGGAUGAUCAGUCACCCUGGAGCUGAGACGCGGUCCAGACUCCUACGGGAGGCCGCAGUGGGGAAUAUUGGACAGUGGGCGAAAGCCUGAUCCAGCCAUGCCGCGUGUGUGAAGACGGUCUUCGGAUUGUAAAGCACUUUAAGUUGGGAGGAAGGGCAGUAAGUUAAUACCUUGCUGUUUUGACGUUACCAACAGAAUAAGCACCGGCUAACUUCGUG